UACGUAGGGUGCGAGCGUUAAUCGGAAUUACUGGGCGUAAAGCGUGCGCAGGCGGUCUGUUAAGACAGAUGUGAAAUCCCCGGGCUUAACCUGGGAACUGCAUUUGUGACUGGCAGGCUAGAGUACGGUAGAGGGGGAUGGAAUUCCGCGUGUAGCAGUGAAAUGCGUAGAUAUGCGGAGGAACACCGAUGGCGAAGGCAAUCCCCUGGACCUGUACUGACGCUCAUGCACGAAAGCGUGGGGAGCAAACAGG
rnacentral:rRNA from 1 species